rnacentral:lncRNA from 1 species
CGAAGAACAUACAAUACUGGGUAGAGCUGGGCUGGGAAAAAAGAUCUUUAGUGGGUAGAGGUAAGUGUAUCUGCCACGUGCUAGUUAGUUAAAUUUGUAAUAACAAUUUAUUGACUGAUACUAGAUGUCAGGCUCCAGGGAACCGGCUAUGAACAGAGGAAUCAGUUUCUUCACUGACAACUUUGUUGUCUGAUGGUAUGACAGGCAGAAUAAUGGCCUACCAACGUGUCUACAUCCUAAUCCUGAGAACCUAUGAAUAUGUUAUGUGGCAAAGAAGGAUUAAGGUAGUGGGUGGUUAACUGAUAGACAUCUUAAAUAGCUGGAUGAUCUUCAUUGUAAUGACAAAGAUUCCCUAAAUGUGGAAUAGAGAGGCAGAAGACAAAGUGUCAGUGAUUGAUGUGAAAGACUUGACCAGCCAUUGCUGGCUUUGAAGAUGGGAGAGGCCUUCAGCAAAGACCAUAGGCUGCCUCUAGAAUCUGGAAAAGGCAAUAAAAUAGAGCCUUGAGAAAGGAACACAGUCCUACUGACAUAUGGAUUUUAGCCCAGUAGCAUUCAUUUUGGACUGCUGACCUCCAUAGCUAUAAGAUAAUAAGUUUGUGCUGUUUCAAGUCACUAACUUUUGGGGAACUACAUGUUGCUGCCAAUGCUUUUCUCUGAUAAGGAGUAAGGCAGAAAGGGCUAUAGAAGGUGUGUUGCAGUGAGAGAUGGCAAAAUGCUUUAUAAGAGAGGACUGGACAAUGAAGGCAUCCCCUCAUUUGCUCAUUUUGUGAGACUUGGUGCUUUGGGAGAGAUAAGGAUAUGACUUCCUUUGACAGCAUAUCCUGAUUAGGGAGACACCUAUAUGAUGCAGUUGGAAGUGGUGGGGUUCAGAGCCAAUGGCCAAGAAAGAAUUUGAGAUGUCUUUGGUGCAAAAAGGGGGUUUUAUUAAAGGAUGGAGAUAGAACCCAUGGACAGAAAGAGCUGCACUGAGGUUGUGAGGAGAGAGAUUUUCUAUCCUAAGACAGGGAGGGUGAUGUUAGAGCUCCAGAAAAUUGAGUCUAUAGGUUUCUGGAGAUUACCUUUUUUCUUGUAAAUCAUGAAGAUAGUUGCAAACUGAUGAAGACUCAUAUCCUGUGUGACUGUGAUGUCUAUCAGUUAACCAUUUGUUUUUCCCUUUCCUUUGUUCUAGGGCAGUCGGGAGUACCAGAGGAAUGUUACACAUAUCCCACCUUGGGGGUAGGGGGGAGGGAGGCAGUUGCAAGGUGUUAGCUUGUGCUUUGCCCUCAGCUUGCCUUCUGCUCCCUCAUCAUAUAGAGCACCUCUCUUACUAGGCUCUUUGACCAGGCAUUAUGAUAAAUCUCCGCAAGUCAAUGGAUUAAUAACAGUCACAAAACAAAGCAUUUUGCUUGAUUGGAAAGGCUAAUCAGAUUCUCUCAAAGCUAUGUGAGCCCAGCCACUCCUGAUUCCAUACCAUAGCUCAAAGGCUGGAACUUCCAACUUCCCCUGUCAUGCCCAAGGUUUCUUUUUUCCAUACUUUUUACCAACUUCAAAUGUAAUAAACAUGAUAAAUAGGUAAAUCUGAUUAUGCUUAUUUGUCCUCAACUAGAAUAUUAACUCCCAGUUCGAGAUUCCCAAAAGCUUAGACAUGUGGCCAGCAUUAAUAGAUGUUCUAACAUUUGUUAACAAAUUUUGAAAUAAUGUAAAUUACUUCUGUUAGGUUUUUU